rnacentral:rRNA from 1 species
UACAGAGGGUGCAAGCGUUAAUCGGAAUUACUGGGCGUAAAGCGUGCGUAGACGGUUACGUAAGUCAGAUGUGAAAGCCCCGGGCUCAACCUGGGAAUUGCAUUUGAGACUGUGUAGCUAGGGUGCGGAAGAGGGAAGCGGAAUUUCCGGUGUAGCGGUGAAAUGCGUAGAUAUCGGAAGGAACACCAGUGGCGAAGGCGACUACCUGGCCCAUUCUUGACGCUGAGGCGCGAAAGCUAGGGGAGCGAACGGG